rnacentral:rRNA from 1 species
AUGGCCUACCAAGGCGACGACGGGUAGCCGACCUGAGAGGGUGACCGGCCACACUGGGACUGAGACACGGCCCAGACUCCUACGGGAGGCAGCAGUGGGGAAUAUUGCACAAUGGGCGAAAGCCUGAUGCAGCGACGCCGCGUGAGGGAUGACGGCCUUCGGGUUGUAAACCUCUUUCGACAGGGACGAAGCGCAAGUGACGGUACCUGUAGAAGAAGCACCGGCCAACUACGUGCCAGCAGCCGCGGUAAUACGUAGGGUGCGAGCGUUGUCCGGAAUUACUGGGCGUAAAGAGCUUGUAGGCGGUUCGUCGCGUCGAUUGUGAAAACUUGCAGCUCAACUGCAAGCUUGCAGUCGAUACGGGCGGACUAGAGUACUUCAGGGGAGACUGGAAUUCCUGGUGUAGCGGUGAAAUGCGCAGAUAUCAGGAGGAACACCGGUGGCGAAGGCGGGUCUCUGGGAAGUAACUGACGCUGAGAAGCGAAAGCGUGGGUAGCGAACAGGAUUAGAUACCCUGGUAGUCCACGCCGUAAACGGUGGGUACUAGGUGUGGGUUUCCUUCCACGGGAUCCGUGCCGUAGCU